rnacentral:tRNA from 1 species
UUUUGAGGUAGGAUAAACUAAUCUAUUGGGCUCAUGACCCAACGAUGUUGCAGUACCCUUAAAAU